rnacentral:misc_RNA from 1 species
AACCUAGCACACCUGCGGUGUGUACCUGCGGAGGGAUCAUUACAAGUGACCCCGGUCUAACCACCGGGAUGUUCAUAACCCUUUGUUGUCCGACUCUGUUGCCUCCGGGGCGACCCUGCCUUCGGGCGGGGGCUCCGGGUGGACACUUCAAACUCUUGCGUAACUUUGCAGUCUGAGUAAACUUAAUUAAUAAAUUAAAACUUUUAACAACGGAUCU